UCACUUUACAUACUCAUAUAUUAGAGAGGGGUUUAUUACUUUAUAAUUCAUCUUCUUAAAAAAAAUACCCACCAGAUCUCUGGCUAUGUCCGAUUCUAGAGUGAUGAUCGCCUGGUGAACAGAGAACAAGAACCUGCAAUGAGAGGUUAGAGGGUGGUAGUUGCAGGUUUCAUUCCGGUGGGAUGGUCGUGCCGAUUUAAACGUCAACGGUUUAGGUUUCACGGUGGUGGCCGGCCGGAAAAGAAGAAAAAAAAACAAGAACAAGGCUUUUGGUGCUCGGUAACAGAGAGCAAGAACAAGAUGUCGAUCGGGUUUUUGGUUUGGGUGUUAAUACUUACCGAACAAGGAUUUGCAAGUUACGAACGGUCCGCCUUGCAUCGUCGAUCACCGGAGAAAAAUUUUCAGGUAUAUAGAUAUUAUCCAGUAGACCAGGAAAUUUAUAUAUCAUAUUGUGAAGAAUGGAUGUGUACCCGGAUUAUGAGGAACGAAGAUGUUCGGAAUCCAAAAACGAUGUUUGAUGAAUCCGUGAUGUUGAUGCGGAUUGCCGGUUAAUCCCAGUGGAGAAUCUUCGUGCUGAUAACGUGAUAAGAAAUUAUCGCAAAUUGAAUUGUAAUUUUCUGAAGAAGUUAUCAUCUCAUCAUUCAAUACAAUAAUAUAUACUUACGUAUAACUGAUAAAACGGUUAUGGUGGGAGUUAUUGUGUAACUGCCUAAAGCAGUUAUUUGGUGGGGUUUGUAUAUCUGCUUUUAUAACAAUUAGAAGCACUGUUUGUUUUGUUUGUUUAUUUUUUUA